GGGGUUAUAGCUCAGCUGGGAGAGCACCUGCUUUGCAAGCAGGGGGUCNNGGUCAGGAGUUCGAUCCUCCUUAGCUCCACCA
rnacentral:tRNA from 1 species